CCUGAUGCAGCCAUGCCGCGUGUGUGAAGAAGGCCUUCGGGUUGUAAAGCACUUUCAGCGAGGAGGAAAGGUCAGUAGCUAAUAUCUGCUGGCUGUGACGUUACUCGCAGAAGAAGCACCGGCUAACUCCGUGCCAGCAGCCGCGGUAAU
rnacentral:rRNA from 1 species